GUCGUAACAAGGUUUCCGUAGGUGAACCUGCGGAAGGAUCAUUACC
rnacentral:rRNA from 2 species